rnacentral:rRNA from 1 species
UACGGGGGGGGCAAGCGUUGUUCGGAAUUACUGGGCGUAAAGGGCUGGUAGGCGGCCAACUAAGUCGGAUGUGAAAUCCCCAGGCUUAACCUGGGAACUGCAUCCGAUACUGGUCGGCUUGAAUCCGGGAGAGGGAUGCAGAAUUCCAGGUGUAGCGGUGAAAUGCGUAGAUAUCUGGAGGAAUACCCGUGGCGAAGGCGGCCCCCUGGGCCGAACCUGACGCUGAGGCGCGAAGGCUAGGGGAGCGAACGGG